rnacentral:rRNA from 1 species
UACGUAGGGUGCAAGCGUUAAUCGGAAUUACUGGGCGUAAAGCGUGCGCAGGCGGUUAUGUAAGACCGAUGUGAAAUCCCCGGGCUUAACCUGGGAACUGCAUUUGUGACUGCAUAGCUAGAGUACGGUAGAGGGGGAUGGAAUUCCGCGUGUAGCAGUGAAAUGCGUAGAUAUGCGGAGGAACACCGAUGGCGAAGGCAAUCCCCUGGACCUGUACUGACGCUCAUGCACGAAAGCGUGGGGAGCAAACAGG